rnacentral:rRNA from 1 species
AGUGAACGCUGGCGGUAGGCCUAACACAUGCAAGUCGAACGGCAGCACAGGAGAGCUUGCUCUCUGGGUGGCGAGUGGCGGACGGGUGAGGAAUACAUCGGAAUCUACUCUGUCGUGGGGGAUAACGUAGGGAAACUUACGCUACUACCGCAUACGACCUACGGGUGAAGGCAGGGGACCUUCGGGCCUUGCGUGAUUGAAUGAGCCGAUGUCGGAUUAGCUAGUUGGCGGGGUAAAGGCCCACCAAGGCGACGAUCCGUAGCUGGUCUGAGAGGAUGAUCAGCCACACUGGAACUGAGACACGGUCCAGACUCCUACGGGAGGCAGCAGUGGGGAAUAUUGGACAAUGGGCGCAAGCCUGAUCCAGCCAUACCGCGUGGGUGAAGAAGGCCUUCGGGUUGUAAAGCCCUUUUGUUGGGAAAGAAAUCCAGCUGGCUAAUACCCGGUUGGGAUGACGGUACCCAAAGAAUAAGCACCGGCUAACUUCGUGCCAGCCGCCGCAGUAA